AAUGCUUUUCAGUCUUUGGGCUAAGAUCAAGUAUAGUAUUGGUCUUCUCAGUUUAGUAUCUGCUAUGUCUUCUAUCUGAGAACACUAUUUAAAUGGACUUUUGAGCAAGAAGAUAGAAUUAGACCUUGCUCCAUCCGCUCCAUGCCUGGGCCUGAUGCAGUCCCC
rnacentral:snRNA from 1 species